AUUGAACGCUGGCGGCAGGCCUAACACAUGCAAGUCGAACGAGUGGCGGACGGGUGAGUAAUGUCUGGGAAACUGCCCGAUGGAGGGGGAUAACUACUGGAAACGGUAGUUAAUACCGCAUACCAUCGGAUGUGCCCAGAUGGGAUUAGCUAGUAGGUGGGGGAACGGCUCACAAAGGCGUCGAUCCCUAGCUGGUCUGAGAGGAUGACCAGCCACACUGGAACUGAGACACGGUCCAGACUCCUACGGGAGGCAGCAGUGGGGAAUAUUGCGCAAUGGGCGCAAGCCUGAUGGAGCCAUGCCGCGUGUAUGAAGAAGGCCUUCGGGUUGUAAAGUACUUUCGUCAGGGAGGCGUUACUCGCAGAAGAAGCAACGGCUAACUCCGUGCCAGCAGCCGCGGUAAUAC
rnacentral:rRNA from 1 species